rnacentral:misc_RNA from 1 species
GAUGAAGAACGUAGCGAAAUGCGAUAAGUAGUGUGAAUUGCAGAAUUCAGUGAAUCAUCGAAUCUUUGAACGCACAUUGCGCCCUUUGGUAUUCCUUAGGGCAUGCCUGUUCGAGCGUCAUUUGAAACCUCAAGCUCAGCUUGGUGUUGGGUGUCUGUCCCCGCCUCCGCGGGGACUCGCCUCAAAAUCAUUGGCGGCCGGUACGUUGGCUUCGAGCGCAGCAGAAACGCGAACUCGAGGCCCGGCGGAUCGGCGACCAGAAGUCUCUUCUUCACAGUUCGACCUCGGAUCAGGUAGGGAUACCCGCUGAACUUAAGCAUAUCAAUAAGCGGAGGA